rnacentral:rRNA from 1 species
UGGGGAAUCUUGGACAAUGGGGGCAACCCUGAUCCAGCGAUGCCGCGUGAGCGAAGAAGGCCUUAGGGUUGUAAAGCUCUUUCGCCCGCGACGAUGAUGACGGUAGCGGGAGAAGAAGCCCCGGCUAACUCCGUGCCAGCAGCCGCGGUAAUACGGAGGGGGCUAGCGUUGUCCGGAAUUACUGGGCGUAAAGCGCGCGGAGGCGGUCCACCAAGUCGGGGGUGAAAGCCCGGGGCUCAACCCCGGAAUGUCCUCCGCGACUGUUGGGCUGGAGUUCGGGAGAGGAGAGCGGAAUUCCCAGUGUUGAGGUGAAAUUCGUAGAUAUUGGGAAGAACACCGGUGGCGAAGGCGGCUCUCUGGCCCGCAACUGACGCUGAGGCGCGAAAGCGUGGGGAGCAAACA